AUCCUUUUGUAGUUCAUAAGCAUGAUGAUCGGGUGUUCAUGUCCGAGCAUGAGAUGUGCCUCCCUCAAACCUUGUUGUGACGUUGGCACAUUUCCCAUCUGAUG
ensembl:snoRNA